rnacentral:rRNA from 1 species
GAUGAACGCUAGCGGCAGGCCUAACACAUGCAAGUCGAGGGAGAAGCCCUUUCGGGGGCAGAAACCGGCGCACGGGUGCGUAACGCGUAUGCAACCUACCUUUCACAGGGGGAUAGCCCGAAGAAAUUUGGAUUAAUACCCCAUAAUAUUAUUGGAUGGCAUCAUUUGAUAAUUAAAACUGCGGUGGUGAAAGAUGGGCAUGCGUCCUAUUAGCUAGUUGGAGUGGUAACGGCACCCCAAGGCUACGAUAGGUAGGGGUCCUGAGAGGGAGAUCCCCCACACGGGUACUGAGACAGGGACCAGACUCCUACGGGAGGCAGCAGUGAGGAAUAUUGGUCAAUGGUCGGAAGACUGAACCAGCCAUGCCGCGUGCAGGAAGAAUGCCUUAUGGGUUGUAAACUGCUUUUAUAUGGGAAGAAUAAGGCGUACGUGUACGUUGAUGACGGUACCAGAUGAAUAAGCAUCGGCUAACUCCGUG